rnacentral:lncRNA from 1 species
GGGAGGAGCGGGCGCGGGCGCUUGGUUGGAGCGUCGCCGCAUCCCAGGUCCCGGGAAAGUUUUUUCAGAGGACCCCCCCGGAGUGGCCAUGUCCCACGGUCCCCGGCAGCCAGGCGCAGCCACCGCACCUGCGGGAGGCAAGACUCCGGGCCAGCAUGGGGCCUUUGUAGUGGCUGUCAAGCAGGAGCGCAGCGAAGGUCCCCGUGCCGGAGAGAAGGGGCCCCAGGAGGAGGAGGUGAGUCCCCAUCUGAAAAGCCUGUCCCGGGCUGGGGAUUUAGCUCAGUGGUAGAGCGCUUACCUAGGAAGCGCAAGGCCCUGGGUUCGGUCCCCAGCUCCGAAAAAAAAAAAAAAAAAAAAAAAAAAAAAGCCUGUCCCCUGGCUCAGCAACACACACCUCACAAGUCCACACUGUAUAAGACCCUCCCACUGCCUAGCAAGAGGCCACGCCCCCGCCCAUCCUGUCAUUGGCUUCAGUCCCACCCCUAGGAGGUUGUCUCCGCACAGGACAAUUGGCUCUCUAGAGUUCUGACCCUUGAUCUGCUGUCCCACUACUAGGCUAGGCCCCGCCCACACGCCCCAGACCCCGCCCACAGUUCUCAGAGCCCCUCCCAAGGACACAGCCCCCUCCUGCAGCCAGUGAAGAAGCGAGGCUGGCCCAAAGGCAAGAAAAGAAAGAAGAUUCUCCCCAAUGGGCCCAAGGCCCCGGUCACGGGCUAUGUUCGCUUCCUGAACGAGAGGCGGGAGCAGAUUCGCACCCGACAUCCGGACCUUCCCUUCCCGGAGAUCACCAAGAUGUUGGGCGCGGAGUGGAGCAAGCUGCAGCCAGCAGAGAAGCAGCGGUACCUGGAUGAGGCAGAGAAGGAGAAACAGCAGUACUUGAAGGAGCUGUGGGCAUACCAGCAGUCAGAGGCCUACAAGGUCUGCACCGAGAAGAUCCAAGAAAACAAAAUAAAAAAAGAGGACUCCAGCUCUGGGCUCAUGAACACCCUCCUGAAUGGACACAAG